GCCUUCGUGGUGUAGUGGUCAGCACGCUUGGCGCGUAACGAGAGGUCCGUGGUUCGAAUCCCGACGAGAGCA
rfam:Stegodyphus mimosarum contig120062, whole genome shotgun sequence.